GAUAAGGAAGAAAAAAAAAGAGAGACAACCAUAAAGACUAAAGAGGACUAUUAACAGAGUGAAGAAUCAAUCACUGGCUUGGUGAACUGUCUUCCUAUUGCUCCCCACGUGGGCUGCGGCUUCUCGCUGGUGGUACAGGUGUGUUGCUCCUUCUUCUCUUAGAUCUCCUACUCCUGUUUCUGCUCGCUGGUAUAGGUGUUGCUCCUUCUUCUCCUAAGACUCGUACUCUUGUUUCUCCUCGGGCUACGGCUAAUACUUCUUCUGCGUGGGCUACGGCUAAUGCUUCUUCUGGGGCUACGGCUUAUGCUGCGGCUCUUACUUGUGGCUGGACUUGCACUGCGAC
rnacentral:lncRNA from 1 species